UAGGCUGAAACUCGCCUACAUGAAGCUGGAAUUGCUAGUAAUCACAGGUCAGCAUACUGUGGUGAAUACGUUCCCGGGCCUUGUACACACCGCCCGUCACACCAUGAGAGUUGAGAAUACCCGAAGCCCAUGUCAAAGUGGUCGAAGGUAGGCUUGAUGAUUGGGGUGAAGUCGUAACAAGGUAUC
rnacentral:rRNA from 1 species